rnacentral:rRNA from 1 species
AGAGUUUGAUCCUGGCUCAGGACGAACGCUGGCGGCGUGCCUAAUACAUGCAAGUGGAGCGACGAACCAGGGCUUGCCCUGGGGGCAAAGCCGCGAACGGGUGAGUAACACGUGGGUAACCUGCCCUGAUGAUUGGGACAACCCGAGGAAACUCGGGCUAAUACCAAAUGUGCUCUUCGGUCUUAAGGUCGUUGAGGAAAGGUAGCUUCGGCUAACCGCAUCAGGAUGGGCCCGCGGCCCAUUAGCUUGUUGGUGAGGUAACGGCUCACCAAGGCUCCGAUGGGUAGCUGGUCUGAGAGGACGAUCAGCCACACUGGGACUGAGACACGGCCCAGACUCCUACGGGAGGCAGCAGUAGGGAAUCUUGCGCAAUGCGCGAAAGCGUGACGCAGCAACGCCGCGUGGAGGAAGACGGUCUUCGGAUUGUAAACUCCUUUCAGUUGGGACGAAGCUUCGGUGUUGAAUAGACAUUCGGAGUGACGGUACCUUCAGAAGAAGCCCCGGCUAACUACGUGCCAGCAGCCGCGGUAAUACGUAGGGGGCGAGCGUUGUCCGGAAUCAUUGGGCGUAAAGCGCGUGUAGGCGGCUCGGUAAGUCUGCUGUGAAAGUCCAGGGCUCAACCCUGGAAUGCCGGUGGAUACUGUCGAGCUCGAGUCCGGAAGAGGCGAGUGGAAUUCCUGGUGUAGCGGUGAAAUGCGCAGAUAUCAGGAGGAACACCAAUGGCGAAGGCAGCUCGCUGGGACGUGACUGACGCUGAGACGCGAAAGC